rnacentral:lncRNA from 1 species
GCUUGAGCCCAGGAGUUCAAGGCUGCAGUGAGCUGUGAUUGCUCACCCAGCUCAGAUAAGGAAUGCUAGGAUCAUUCUCACUUGGCCUAUUGGCUGUUUAAUUAAGCUGUAAGCUCCCGUUGGACAGGACUAUGCCUUUUCAUCAACAUACCAGCAGUUUCUGGCACACAGUUAUCUAUGGAGUUAGUGAAUUACUUUCUGAACUAUUUUAAUAAAUACACCUUCUCUCAAGCUUUGGCCCAAACUGAAGGAAUGGGCCUUCAGUGCUGGGGAGGGGGUGACUGUUGUGACUUGUGAACAGUUUCCCUUCCUCUUUCCCCAAGUGAAGUGGCCAUCCUAAUGACCAGUUCAACUUUGCAUAUGUAAACCCCUUCCAGAAACAGUCGUUGCCUUCUUCUCAAUCCAUUUCUUUUCCUGGAAACAUCCACAGCACAAAUGGAGCUCAAGUUUAUUUGAAUUCAGUGUCUAAGUCAUGUGGACGAUGAGGGGAAAGGGGAUUGACUCAGACCCUUAGGAUCAAGGGGUGGGGUCACUGCAGGGAAGCAGAGGAACCCCAAUUCCAGCCCUGCUCUAGUGUCAAAGCCUGGCGAGGAGGGUCUGGGCAAAGUAGAUGGGGCUGUGUGCUUUUUAUGAUGAAGAAACUGUCCCUGCAGGAUUUGGGGGUCCUCCCACUGGGUGGGGGUCAGGCAGGAGGUUUUCUGUUUUUCCAGACAAACCCUAUCCUCUCCCUGAGAUUAGGGCUGAGGGCCUGCCCCCUUGGGGGGUUCCAUGGUCAGGCCUAGGCCCUAGAAGGGGAGAAGUGAGGAGCCUUAAGCCCAGAGCUGUGGGCUUGAUAAAGGCCUUUUACUAAAGAUGCAACUACAGGAAUCAGAGCUGGAGGGGGACCUGAAGGCUUGUAGAUCCUACAGGGUCUUCUUGACUGCUGCUCCCAGAUUCUGCUGGGCCCAGCUAGGGGAGCAGGAAUAGGAGCAGAGCAGAGUGGAGGAGAAGUAGCAUAGCCACAGCCAGGGCCCAGUGCAGGGGGUUUCUGGUGGCCCCAGGAGCUGCCUGGUUGAAGUGAAGUUUCCCAUCCAGCUGAAGGCAGCUGCCUGAGGUUGAGGCUUGACAGCACUCCUGGUAGCAGGGUGGGGCCACAGCCCCAUGACACUGGGAGGUCCCUGCUUCACAGGCCUGGCUGCAGCCUGCAAUGUAACCUGAGCUGGAGCAUUUCAGCUGCAAGAAGAGGUGGGACCAUUCAUCUUCCCCUUGCCCCUCUUCCCCACUCAAAGGCAGAAAGUGUUAAGUGGGUCAUGGGUUGAGCUCAACCUCCUUGGACCCCUAGCUUCCUGCCCACAAGAUCAGUGAGUUCCUAGUGAACAUACAGGGUGGUCAGAAAAAAAGGGGCACAUCGUGGAGGUAUGGAAAAUUCCAGUUGCUGCCUUUGGUGUUGGCAUCAUGCAGAGCUGAGGGGGUCAAGCUUGCUAGACCCCACGGCUGCUCCCAGCAGGUCUAGCUCCAGCCAGAUUCUACUGCUGAGCUACCCACUCCAGGUAGAAGGAGAAAGCCAUGCAGCUCUGAGGGAGGAGAGCUCCCUAAUUCUUGGAGCAUCGCAGGGCUCACCUCACAGAAGUCCAAGCCCUCAGGGCACAUGGCCACAGCUUUCGGCCCUUUGAAACAGUCACCACCUUGGCAGGAGAAAGUAGCACAGAUUUUCUUCUGGAAGAGAAAGCAGGAGGAGGUUUGGGAGCUCUGUGCAGACUGAACAGGUGGUAAAUGCUGGACAGAGGCAAGGCUGGAGCCCUAUCAUGCCUGUGUCACUGGCCCCAUCCACCACACGCUGUCCAUUCCUGCCUCCACUUCCUAGAGGAGGCAGGUGAGAAUGAGACACAUUUCCCUGGAGGGCUGGCAAGGUGGUGGUCACCAGGGGUGGAAUGGAAUGUAGCUUGUCCUCUGGGAUCGUCGGGUGGGCUAGGCCUAGGAGCAGAGCAGGACUGCCUGGGGAAGUGCUGUGACACCUCUGUAAAGCCCUGACCCCCUGCCUUGCCCCCAGGGAGAGCAUGAUGUGUGUGGGCAGCUCACAACCUGACAUCUCCCCCACCACGGCCUAGAUGAGCACAGGUGCUUGCCCCAGGCCUCUUUGUAGCUUGUUGGGGAGGGGAGUGCUGGAUGGGCUGGACUGGGGAAUGGUGGGGAUGUUAGGAGUGGGGAAUCUGAGAGGGGGUGGGGCACCAAAGGUAGAAAGCUCAGACUUGGGGAGCUAAUGAGGAAGGCAGAGUUUUUUUUUUUGUUUUUUUUUUUUGUGGUGAGGUGGAGUCUCUCUCUGUCGCCCAGGCUGGAGUGCAGUGGUGAGAUCUUGGCUCAGUGCAAGCUCCGCCUCCCAGGUUCAUGCCAUUCUCCUGCCUCAGCCUACAGAGUAGCUGGGACUACAAGCGCCCAGCACCACCAUGCCCGGCUAAUUUUUUGUAUUUUUAGUAGAGAUGGGGUUUCACCAUGUUAGCCAGGAUGGUCUCGAUCUCCUGACCUCAUGAUCCACCUGCCUUGGCCUGUCUCGAUCUCCUGACCUCAUGAUCCACCCGCCUUGGCCUCCCAAAGUGCUGGGAUUACAGGCAUGAGCCACCAUGCCUGGCCUAGGAAGACAUUAAAGGUAAGGGUCAGGGCCGGGCGCCGUGACUCAUGCCUGUUAUCCCAG